GAUGAAGAACGUAGUGAAAUGCGAUAAGUAAUGUGAAUUGCAGAAUUCAGUGAAUCAUCGAAUCUUUGAACGCACAUUGCGCCCUCUGGUAUUCCGGGGGGCAUGCCUGUUCGAGCGUCAUUAUAACCACUCAAGCUCUCGCUUGGUAUUGGGGUUCGCGGUUCCGCGGCCCCUAAAAUCAGUGGCGGUGCCUGUCGGCUCUACGCGUAGUAAUACUCCUCGCGAUUGAGUCCGGUAGGUCUACUUGCCAGCAACCCCCAAUUUUUACAGGUUGACCUCGGAUCAGGUAGGGAUACCCGCUGAAGUUAAGCAUAUCAAUAAGCGGAGGA
rnacentral:misc_RNA from 1 species